rnacentral:rRNA from 1 species
UAUAGAUGGAUCCGCGCUGCAUUAGCUAGUUGGUAAGGUAACGGCUUACCAAGGCAACGAUGCAUAGCCGACCUGAGAGGGUGAUCGGCCACACUGGAACUGAGACACGGUCCAGACUCCUACGGGAGGCAGCAGUAGGGAAUCUUCCGCAAUGGGCGAAAGCCUGACGGAGCAACGCCGCGUGAGUGAUGAAGGUCUUCGGAUCGUAAAACUCUGUUAUUAGGGAAGAACAUAUGUGUAAGUAACUGUGCACAUCUUGACGGUACCUAAUCAGAAAGCCACGGCUAACUACGUGCCAGCAGCCGCGGUAAUACGUAGGUGGCAAGCGUUAUCCGGAAUUAUUGGGCGUAAAGCGCGCGUAGGCGGUUUUUUAAGUCUGAUGUGAAAGCCCACGGCUCAACCGUGGAGGGUCAUUGGAAACUGG